CCUACGGGAGGCAGCAGUGAGGAAUAUUGGUCAAUGGACGAGAGCCUGAACCAGCCAAGUCGCGUGAAGGCAGACGGUCCUAUGGAUUGUAAACCUCUUUUAUAUGGGAACAAAAUGCUCCACGCGUGGCGUUCCGAGCGUACCCUAGGAACAAGCAUCGGCUAACUCCGUGCCAGCAGCCGCGGUAAUACGGAGGAUGCGAGCGUUAUCCGGAUUUAUUGGGUUUAAAGGGUGCGCAGGCGGACGAUCAAGUCAGCGGUAAAAUUGAGAGGCGCAACCUCUUCGAGCAGUUGAAACUGGUUGUCUUGAGUGAGUGAGAAGUAUGCGGAAUGCGUGGUGUAGCGGUGAAAUGCAUAGAUAUCACGCAGAACUCCGAUUGCGAAGGCAGUACACCGGAGUGCAACUGACGCUCAUGCACGAAAGUGUGGGUAUCGAACAGGAUUAGAUACCCUUGUAGUC
rnacentral:rRNA from 1 species